AAUAUUGGACAAUGGGGGCAACCCUGAUCCAGCUAUGCCGCGUGUGUGAAGAAGGUCUNUGGAUUNUNAUGCACUUUAAGUUGGGNAGACGGGCUUUAGGCUAAUACCCUUAAGUUUUGACGUUACCAACAUAAUAAGCCCAGGCUAACUGUGUGUCUGCAGCCGUGGUAAUACAGAGGGUGCAAGCGUUAAUCGGAAUUACUGGGCGUAAAGCGCGCGUAGGUGGUUCAGUAAGAUGGGUGUGAAAUCCCCGGGCUUAAACUGGGAACUGCUUUCAUAACUGCUGAGCUAGAGUACGGUAGAGGGUAGUGGAAUUUCCUGUGUAGCGGUGAAAUGCGUAGAUAUAGGAAGGAACACCAGUGGCGAAGGCGACUACCUGGACUGAUACUGACACUGAGGUGCGAAAGCGUGGGGAGCAAAC
rnacentral:rRNA from 1 species